AGGGCCUUCUUGAGGUUCUUCAACCAGUGUGGGCUUACUUUAUCUGAGUCUCGGAGUCUUCUAUCUUUGGAGGCGAGAUAGUCGAGACUUUUAGAUGUGAUGAUCCAAUUUGGGGUGUGUUAGCUCACCCAAGUCUUUCAAGAGGUGUGGUGGCCAAGCAUAAGGCACAAAACUCUCUCAAGGCUUUUUCAAAAUUCUUCAACCUGCGUGGGCUU
rnacentral:lncRNA from 1 species